ACCUUUCAUAUAACCUUUUCAAAAUCUUUUAGUUGGUGCAUCAGUUUUAUAGUCGAAUAAAAGACGAGGCUACACUAUAUUGUACGAAGGAAGGUUUACGUACAUUUCUGCAAUUCUGUGCUCAGCAAUUUGGAUAUAUAUUCUAUUGGAUAUAUAAAUUGGUGUGCAUUAGUUUUACAGUCGAACAAAAGACGAGGCUACACUAUAUUGUACGAAGGAAGAUCUACGUGCAUUUCUGCAAUUCUGUGCUCAGCAAUUUGGAUAUAUAUUCUAUUGGAUAUAUAAAUGACGCUAGAACAAUUCU